rfam:Clostridium butyricum E4 str. BoNT E BL5262 CLP.Contig62, whole genome shotgun sequence.
UUAAUAUGAUAAAAAUCCAUUACAGAUUUAUAUAUAUGUUAUCAAGGUUUUAAUUAACAAGGAGGGCAAUUUAAUG